rnacentral:rRNA from 1 species
GACGGAGGGUGCUAGCGUUGUUCGGAAUCACUGGGCGUAAAGGGCGCGUAGGCGGCGCAGCGUGUCGGCUUGUGAAAGCCCGGGGCUCAACCCCGGAGGUGCGGCCGAAACUGAUGUGCUGGAGGCCGGAAGAGGAGGGUGGAAUUCCUGGUGUAGCGGUGAAAUGCGCAGAUAUCAGGAAGAACACCCGUGGCGAAGGCGGCUCUCUGGGACGGUACUGACGCUGAGACGCGAAAGCGUGGGGAGCGAACAGG